UCAUGAUUUAGUGGGAGAGGAGGGAACAGAAGGGGCAGUCAGGAACCAACAGGUGGGCUGGCCCACAAGAAAGGGUCACAGACUCACAGCAGGUGGCAGAGCAUAUGGAGGAGAAAUAUGGACGUGGGCAGGUGGGCAGGGAACCAGCCGGGGGACCUGGGAGUAUAGGACAUGCAGGCUGGAGCCUUUGAUCCUCUCUGACUGCAGUUGCUCUUCCCAGCCUGUGAAGGCCAGAGGUGCCAAAGUGUAACUUGUUCUUUUAGGUUAUUGAUCUGUUUUUAAAAGAAAUGGCUUGGGAUGACUGCAACAAUAUUCAUUUUUAAGUUAAUAGUUUAGGACUUCUUUCUCUUUUUGUGAUUUUCAAAGUGCCAAGGGGAACUGAAGAGGACCAAAAUAUUCCAAAGAAUUUUAGCAGAACGGUAUUGUAAAAGAUAAGAUGAACAGAAUGAAACGCUUCUUUUAGCAUUCAAUGAGAUGGUGGUGGUACAGAGAUAAAAAGUGUAAAGUCAGGUGAAAAGAGCUGGGAUGGAGCCAGAAGACCUGAAAGUGAUCCAGCUCUGCACUGGCAUACCGCUGGAGCAGGUCACUGCAAUGAGUGAGUCUGUGCGUGGGCCCCCCAAGACCCAGAUCCCUUCGGCUUUCGGCUGAUAGCCCCUCUGGGGUGUCCUCGCUGCAGUCAACAGCCAGCAAAGCCAGAUAGCAAGACCCCCAUCCCAGCUGGGCCGAGUCCGAAGGAUGGAUACAGCAGCACUGCCCCUGCUCCGGACCCCACUCCUCCAGGGAGGGCUGCGCCUCGCCAGCUGAGAAGCUCCGCUGCUCCCAAAGGUGGCUUUUUUCUUCUCCGGCCGAAGUCACUGCCUCUUCUGCUCUCGCCAGGACCGUCCCUUGUCGUGGGGGUUCCUCUCAUUCAGUUUUCAGCUUUCAAUCUGGGGUGAUUCCCCCCAAAAUUGCUGCAACCCGGUUGUGUUUAUGGGAGGAGGCGAGCCCAACAUCUGCUCACAGUGCCAUCUUGACGAGAACUCUGAAUAGUCAUUACUUUUCUUCUUCAAUAUCAAAUAAUUCCUUUAUUACACAUAAUACUCACAAAUACAUUUGAGUCUAC
rnacentral:lncRNA from 1 species